rnacentral:lncRNA from 1 species
GCCCAGCACUGCAUCUUCCUCGCAUAUCCAGCGCCGUAUCUCCCUUUAUCAUCACUACUCUGUAAUUGUAACUUCUUCUUUUAUCAGAUGCUGAAACGUUUUCGUCUGCAUCAGAACGAAUUUCUAUAUAUUCAAUAUCUUGUCCUCUGUAGGUACUUCGCCAAAGGUCGCGGAUUAUUUUGUUAAUUUCUUGCAUCUUCAUGCUAUGAAAUGUCAUUAUUGCUUUAUCCAGGGCCUUGUAAUAAAUGUCCAAAUCUUUGUUCACCAGCUCUGUUGUUCUCAUGACAAUCAUCAUCUCCCUGUGCUUUUCCUCUGCAUCCUUGAACUGUGACUCUCGAAGCUCCUUUUUAAACCGAACUAUCUCUUCCUCAAAUCCACGCUGUCGGCCCAGUGCAACGUGAUGGUUUCUUUUCAGAGCUUCUAUUUUCUCCUCUAAAUGUUUUUGUUCAUUUUUCAGCUGUGGGACUUUCAUUUCUCCCAUCUUCUUUACAAGUUCUUUUAUAUUGUCUUCGACUCCUUUUAGCUCUUUAUUCCGCUCCCUCAAAGUAAGAUUAUCCUCCAGCCAUCUCUCCUGGAUUUUUUGAGUGUCAAUAUCCUGUCGAAUAAUUUCCAUCUCUUUACUGAUCUUUUCCUUCUGUUUCUCGCAGGCAACUAACUGGGAAUUUACUUCAUCAAGUUCACACUCCUUUUGCUUCUUAUAUUCUUCCUUUCCUUGUUGAAUAUAGUUUUCAAUUUCUUUCGUGUACUUAUUUAUAUCUUUAACUUUCUCUUUUAUGGCAUUCAUCUUCUCUUGUAUUUCUUUAUUACUUGCAGUCCUUUUAUUAAUUAGAUCCUCCUUGUCUUGCUGCAGUUUUUCUAAAGUUGCAUCCAGAGGAAAUACCUGUUCUUUUUCUUCCUUGAUCUCCCUGGACAAGGACUGAACCUCAGUGGUUAAUUCCACUGUUUGUUCCUCCAGUUGCUGACGACGCUGCACGCUGCUGGAAAUCUGAAGUUUCUCUGCUCUGAGUUCAUUCACUGUACUCUUCAGCUCCUGAAUUUGAUUUUGCUGGUCUUGCUUCAUUUUCUGAUUUAGCUCAAUUUUACUAGUAACGGUAUCCCACAGAUGUUUUUUCGCUUGUUUCUCUUGGCUUACUUGUAGAACAGUUCUAUUUAAAUCGAC